rnacentral:rRNA from 1 species
AGGGCGCACGGUGGAUGCCUUGGCACUAGAAGCCGAUGAAGGACGUGACUAACGACGAAAUGCUUUGGGGAGCUGUAAGUGAGCAAUGAUCCAGAGAUGUCCGAAUGGGGGAACCCGGCAGGUAAUGCCUGUCACUCAUUACUGUUAAGGUAAUGUAGAGGAAGACGCAGUGAACUGAAACAUCUAAGUAGCUGUAGGAAGAGAAAGCAAAAGCGAUUGCCUUAGUAGCGGCGAGCGAAACGGCAAGAGGGCAAACCGAAGAGUUUACUCUUCGGGGUUGUAGGACUGCAACGUGGACUUAAAGAUUAUAGAAGAACUACCUGGGAAGGUAGGCCAAAGAGAGUAAUAGCCUCGUAUUCGAAAUAGUCUUUAUACCUAGCAGUAUCCUGAGUACGGCGAGACACGAGAAAUCUCGUCGGAAUCUGGGAGGACCAUCUCCCAACCCUAAAUACUCUCUAGUGACCGAUAGUGAACCAGUACCGUGAGGGAAAGGUGAAAAGCACCCCGGGAGGGGAGUGAAAUAGAACCUGAAACCGUGUGCCUACAACAAGUUCGAGCCCGUUAAUGGGUGAGAGCGUGCCUUUUGUAGAAUGAACCGGCGAGUUACGAUAUGAUGCGAGGUUAAGUUGAAGAGACGGAGCCGUAGGGAAACCGAGUCUUAAUAGGGCGCAUUAGUAUCAUGUCGUAGACCCGAAACCAUGUGACCUACCCAUGAGCAGGUUGAAGGUGAGGUAAAACUCACUGGAGGACCGAACCAGGGCACGUUGAAAAGUGCUUGGAUGACUUGUGGGUAGCGGAGAAAUUCCAAACGAACUUGGAGAUAGCUGGUUCUCUCCGAAAUAGCUUUAGGGCUAGCGUCGAUGUUAAGUCUCUUGGAGGUAGAGCACUGUUUGGGUGAGGGGUCCAUCCCGGAUUACCAAUCUCAGAUAAACUCCGAAUGCCAAUGAGAUAUAAUCGGCAGUCAGACUGCGAGUGCUAAGAUCCGUAGUCGAAAGGGAAACAGCCCAGACCACCAGCUAAGGUCCCAAAAUAUAUGUUAAGUGGAAAAGGAUGUGGGGUUGCACAGACAACUAGGAUGUUAGCUCAGAAGCAGCUAUUCAUUCAAAGAGUGCGUAAUAGCUCACUAGUCGAGUGACCCUGCGCCGAAAAUGUACCGGGGCUAAAACAUAUUACCGAAGCUGUGGAUACCUUUAUAGGUAUGGUAGGAGAGCGUUCUAUGUGCGAAGAAGGUGUACCGUGAGGAGUGCUGGAGCGCAUAGAAGUGAGAAUGCCGGUAUGAGUAGCGAAAGACAGGUGAGAAUCCUGUCCACCGUAAGACUAAGGUUUCCAGGGGAAGGCUCGUCCGCCCUGGGUUAGUCGGGACCUAAGGAGAGACCGAAAGGUGUAUCCGAUGGACAACAGGUUGAUAUUCCUGUACUAGAGUAUAUAGUGAUGGAGGGACGCAGUAGGCUAACUAAACCAGACGAUUGGAAGUGUCUGGCCAAGCAGUGAGGUGUGAUAUGAGUCAAAUGCUUAUAUCUUUAACAUUGAGCUGUGAUGGGGAGCGAAGUUUAGUAGCGAAGUUAGUGAUGUCACACUGCCGAGAAAAGCUUCUAGCGUUAAUUAUACUCUACCCGUACCGCAAACCGACACAGGUAGUCGAGGCGAGUAGCCUCAGGUGAGCGAGAGAACUCUCGUUAAGGAACUCGGCAAAAUGGCCCCGUAACUUCGGGAGAAGGGGCGCUGACUGAUGGUCAGCCGCAGUGAAUAGGCCCAAGCAACUGUUUAUCAAAAACACAGCUCUCUGCUAAAUCGUAAGAUGAUGUAUAGGGGGUGACGCCUGCCCGGUGCUGGAAGGUUAAGAGGAGUGCUUAGCGUAAGCGAAGGCAUGAAUUGAAGCCCCAGUAAACGGCGGCCGUAACUAUAACGGUCCUAAGGUAGCGAAAUUCCUUGUCGGGUAAGUUCCGACCCGCACGAAAGGCGUAAUGAUUUGGGCACUGUCUCAACGAGAGACUCGGUGAAAUUUUAGUACCUGUGAAGAUGCAGGUUACCCGCGACAGGACGGAAAGACCCCAUGGAGCUUUACUGCAGUUUGAUAUUGAGUAUCUGUACCACAUGUACAGGAUAGGUAGGAGCCUAUGACCUCGGGACGCCAGUUUCGAGUGAGGCGUUGUUGGGAUACUACCCUUGUGUUAUGGCUACUCUAACCCAGAUAGGUUAUCCCUAUCGGAGACAGUGUCUGACGGGCAGUUUGACUGGGGCGGUCGCCUCCUAAAAGGUAACGGAGGCGCCCAAAGGUUCCCUCAGAAUGGUUGGAAAUCAUUCGCAGAGUGUAAAGGUAUAAGGGAGCUUGACUGCGAGAGUUACAACUCGAGCAGGGACGAAAGUCGGGCUUAGUGAUCCGGUGGUUCCGUAUGGAAGGGCCAUCGCUCAACGGAUAAAAGCUACCCUGGGGAUAACAGGCUUAUCUCCCCCAAGAGUUCACAUCGACGGGGAGGUUUGGCACCUCGAUGUCGGCUCGUCGCAUCCUGGGGCUGUAGUCGGUCCCAAGGGUUGGGCUGUUCGCCCAUUAAAGCGGCACGCGAGCUGGGUUCAGAACGUCGUGAGACAGUUCGGUCCCUAUCCGUCGCGGGCGUAGGAAAUUUGAGAGGAUCUGCUCCUAGUACGAGAGGACCAGAGUGGACUUACCGCUGGUGUACCAGUUGUUCUGCCAAGAGCAUCGCUGGGUAGCUAUGUAGGGAAGGGAUAAACGCUGAAAGCAUCUAAGUGUGAAGCCCACCUCAAGAUGAGAUUUCCCAUGAUUUU